UACGAAGGGGGCUAGCGUUGCUCGGAAUCACUGGGCGUAAAGGGUGCGUAGGCGGGUCUUUAAGUCAGGGGUGAAAUCCUGGAGCUCAACUCCAGAACUGCCUUUGAUACUGAGGAUCUUGAGUACAGGAGAGGUGAGUGGAACUGCGAGUGUAGAGGUGAAAUUCGUAGAUAUUCGCAAGAACACCAGUGGCGAAGGCGGCUCACUGGCCCGUAACUGACGCUGAGGCACGAAAGCGUGGGGAGCAAACAGG
rnacentral:rRNA from 1 species